GAUGAACGCUGGCGGCGUGCCUAAUACAUGCAAGUCGAGCGAACAGACGAGGAGCUUGCUCCUCUGACGUUAGCGGCGGACGGGUGAGUAACACGUGGAUAACCUACCUAUAAGACUGGGAUAACUUCGGGAAACCGGAGCUAAUACCGGAUAAUAUAUUGAACCGCAUGGUUCAAUAGUGAAAGACGGUUUUGCUGUCACUUAUAGAUGGAUCCGCGCCGCAUUAGCUAGUUGGUAAGGUAACGGCUUACCAAGGCAACGAUGCGUAGCCGACCUGAGAGGGUGAUCGGCCACACUGGAACUGAGACACGGUCCAGACUCCUACGGGAGGCAGCAGUAGGGAAUCUUCCGCAAUGGGCGAAAGCCUGACGGAGCAACGCCGCGUGGGUGAUGAAGGUCUUCGGAUCGUAAAACUCUGUUAUUAGGGAAGAACAAAUGUGUAAGUAACUAUGCAUGUCUUGACGGUACCUAAUCAGAAAGCCACGGCUAACUACGUG
rnacentral:rRNA from 1 species